rnacentral:rRNA from 1 species
AACGCGAAGAAUCCUUACCAGCGCACUUGAGCAUGCAACUGACACCACCCGUAAUGGGGUGUCCCUUCGGGGCGAUUGCACAUGGUGCUGCAUGGCUGUCGUUUAGCUCGUGUCGUGAGAUGUUGGGUUCAGUCCCGCAACGAGCGCAACCCCUGCCGCUAGUUGAAUGGUCUAGCGGGACCGCCGCGAUCAACGCGGAGGAAGGCGGGGAUGACGUCAAGUCAGCACGGCCCUUACGUCCUGGGCUACACACACGCUACAAUGGUCGGAACAACGGGCUGCCAACCCGCGAGGGGGAGCCAAUCCCAACAAAUCCGGCCUCAGUUCAGAUUGCAGGCUGCAACCCGCCUGCAUGAAGGAGGAGUUGCUAGUAACCGUGGGUCAGCACACCACGGUGAAUACGUUCCCGGGUCUUGUACUCUUCC